CAGAAGCUCGUAAAAAUCAAAACCCCAUCGAAAAUCUUCUCCAAACUAAACCAUCUUCUUUUCGGUAACAGUUGAUUAUCUUCAAAUCAUCAAAAUCGCAUUCAAAUCAGUUUCAUUCAAAUCAUCUUCUUAAAUCAAUUUCAUCUUAGGGCUUCAAAUCAUCUUCUGAAAAAGAUUUAGGGUUUCAGCUCGUGAGUAGCCCAGAGCGAACAAAGGAACGUAGUACUUUCAAUGAACGCAACUUUCAGAUCGUGAUUCGGUAUUGGAUUCGCUUAUUUUAGAAGGAGAUACACAUGAAAUACUGGUGGAAUUGGGAGGAAUGGGUGGCGGUGGAAUGGUUUGGCUGGAGGUUAAAUAUAAGACCUUUGAUGAAAUUGAUGAUGAGAAAAAGUGGUGGAAGAUACCUUUUGUUUCAGAUUUUCUAAAGAAGAAUGGUUUUGAUUCUGCACUCAGAAAGGUUAUCGGUUCUGAUACAGUACAAGUCAGCCAAUUUGUGGAGUUUGCAUUUGGGAAGUUAAAGUUAUUUAACAAUGAGAAGGGUUGGAUGUCUGAUACUGAUAAUGAUAAAUAUGAUACUGAAAGUUCUAAGGAAUCAAAUGAUUCUGCAUACAAAGCUGCUAGUUAAGAUUCAGAAGCCUCUAAUGAAGCUUUUAGUGAACAAAGAAACAUGGAAGAGUUUCACUCACGUGAUAGUGAAACUAAAUGAACACACUUUGGAAUCAGACAAUAGAGCAAGUGGUCAACCUGCCACUGCUGCAAUUCAGUCUUCACUUCCAGAGGUCAAAAAGGCAAAUGAGAAAUUGAUGGAGCAAACUGAAUCAAUUUUAGGAGGUUUAAUGGUUUUAACGGCAACAGUUUCCAAAAUAAAAAAUUAUUUGGUUAUAGUUUCUUUCGGUGCAUUUGAAUGAGACUAUGAAUCAUGAUGUUCUUACUUGGAGACAUCCUUCUAGCAUUAUUAUGAGAUUAUUCACAAGUUGAUUUAUUGUCUGAGACUAUUCAUAUCACUGGCACUUAUUCAUCAAUCCUAUCGUACUUACAAUGAAUGAUUUCAUUGGUGCAUAAGAGUCUAUGAACACAGCGGAAGCACAAAGGGUUGAGAUGCAAGUGAAGGGCAACCAUGCACUAGGUAUCUGCUACUUCUUUCUACUUGUGGUGAAUGACUCCGAUUUUCUCUCGAUAUGCCUGGUAUUGUACAUGGCAUCUCAUACAUGUAACAUUAUUUUAACGGUCCAUAAUCGAUGGUCUUUUUUAUUAUAUACUUCACUAACCAGUGAUCAAAUUUCAGGUACUGAAAUUAAACAGUUUGUUUCUUUAUACCCACUUUAUCUUAAUGUAAAAAUACUUUUUAUGCCAGGGACUAAAAAAGUAAAUAAGAAUUGCCUUGGAAACUUCAACAAAUUGAUCCUUGAAAAAGGAAAAUGAACUCCACAUGAAAAUUAUGGAGCUUGAGACCAACAUGAAGGAGUUAAGUUGGAAUAGGUAUGUUUUUGUAUUUCUUUGGAAGUGAUUUUCAAAUGGAUUAAAAUGUGUUUUAUACGUCCAUUAUGAAUGUAAAAAUAUAAAUGUACUAAAUGAAUUAUGGCUCAGUGGACAAGAAUAAUAUACAAAGUUAUUCUUCUACUACUUAAUUUUGAAAUGUGUACCUCAAAACUCAACUCAUGCUUUUGUUCUUAUUUUAUAUUAACCAUUUUAGUUGACAUCGCGAAGAGAUUGUCAGUGAUCUCUUAAAGGAGAGGCGACAGUAUUGCUUUAGAGGAAUAUAAUGAUGGUUACUUAUCAUACCCACAUCAGCAAUGUUGGCUAGUAAUGGUGGUGUAUUGCAGGAACUAAAAGUUCAAGUUCGGAUAUGUAGAGACCUCUUUUAUAUUAACCAUUUAGAUUUGAACAUCUUUGUAUGAACUUCUUUUACAUUAACCAUUUUGAGUUGAACAUUUAUGCAGGGACCUCUCUUGUAAUAAUAUAAGUGGCUUCUUCCCGAUAA